rnacentral:rRNA from 1 species
CGCUUGUUUAUCAAAAACAUGUCUUUUUGAAAAUAAUAUAAAGUCUAACCUGCCCACUGAUGUAAAAAUUGAAGGGCCGCGGUAUAUUGACUGUGCAAAGGUAGCAUAAUCAUUUGUCUUUUAAUUGGAGGCUGGAAUGAAUGGUUGAAUGAGGUAUUAACUGUCUCAUUUUUAAAAUAAUAAAAAUUUAGCUUUUUAGUCAGAAGGCUUAAAUAAAUUUAAAGGACGAGAAGACCCUAUAGAUCUUUAUAAUGUAAAUUUUGUAAUAUAAGGGUAAAAAAUAGUUAUUAGAUAAAACAUUAUUUUGUUGGGGCGACAAAAAAAUUUAUUGAACUUUUUUUAAGAAAAUAAAACAUAAAUUAAUGAAAAAUUGAUCCAAUAUUAUUGAUUAAAAAAUUAAGUUACCUUAGGGAUAACAGCGUAAUUUUUUUGUAGAGUUCUUAUCGAUAAGAAAGAUUGCGACCUCGAUGUUGAAUUAAAGAUUAUUUUAGAUGUAGAAGUUUAAAAAUUUAGGUCUGUUCGACCUUUAAAUCUUUACAUGAUCUGAGUUCAACCCGGA